rnacentral:misc_RNA from 1 species
AGAAUCAUUCCAUGAGUUGAAGAUUUCAUGUGGAUCACUGACUAUCCCUGAUUUGAAUUUGAGCAAAGCAAGUUGAUCAGUCUCAUUUCCUGAAGAAUGAGCUUGCAUGAAUUGCCAGUUUAAGGAGAGGAAAAUAACUAGUUGAAGAUAAACAAGAAAAAGCUGAAGCAAACUAGUAUUAUAAAUCUUCAUUUGGUUGGGAGUGAGAGGUUACUGGGAGAUU